CCUGUCAAUUGUUUGUCUUUUGAUUUGUUUGUUAUGGGUGCUACAGAGAGCGCAGGACUUAAGGAAAACCAUGUAGUCUGUACGCUUUUCACGAAAAUGUGCCGCUGCUCGAUGAUGCUCGAGGGGUUUCCUCUUGCUCCGUUGCUCCGUUCCCGUUCCCGUUGCCUUUCUUUUCUUUCUCCGAUGCCGGGUCUCGCCCCUUUCUGGUUACAGUUUAAUGCGUUCUAAUGUAUGUGACUUUUGGCAGGAUUUCCAACGUUUGCCGCCGCCAAAAACUCAAGUGACUUGCAGAAUGUCCUGCGACAAUCAACCAUCAUCAAUCACCGCUGCAAAAGGCCCCUUUCUUUCGGGCACAAAUAUAAAUAUUUUCUGCUGAAAUUAGGUUAAAGGCGGCAGAAGACCAACUCCAGCUUCAGCUCCAGUUUUCGAUAUGGGACAUG
rnacentral:lncRNA from 1 species